rnacentral:lncRNA from 1 species
AUGAUUAUGAGGAUGCAUGCAAUAGUCUUCGAAGCUGUUGCCACCAACACUCAGAAUGAUUUGCCUGGUAUCCUGUGGAGACCUCACGUCUGCCCUCUGCUAAUCAAGUGGCAGCCCCGAGGCCAGCGCUGGCACCAAAUGAUCAGCGUCGCCCCCCUCCUUCUCGCUGCGAUCCCAUCACCAACACCUGCUCAACCCCUAGUUGGCACCCACGAGAGACUUCGGCAGGCCCGCUCAGCCACAGGAUAUCACAGUGAAGCGCUUAGAAAUGCAAGACAUGUUGUGCAGCACGAUGCCCAGGAGGAAGACCAGGACGCAGGCCACAAGGAUCACAGUGCACACCCCGGACCAGGUGGAGCUUUUCGCCGCGCCCCGCCUGUCUGGCUCCUCCUCCGCCGCCUCCUGGGGCGGCCCCCCCUGCAGGGGCUGCUGUUCCCCGGGGAUCGUCACCACCGUGACGGGCUUCUGCUGGCUCCCGGGCAGCAGGCGGCAGCCCAGGUCUCCGGGCAGCAGCGCUCGCUCUUUGGCGAUGGGCAGGGGCAGCAUGUAGCACCCAUUGCUGGGAAGUUUGAUGAAGACCGGGGUGUGCUCGGACGCGUGCGGGAUGGCGAUGACCGCCAGGACCUCGGGGUCGUCGGGGAGCUGCGACACGGAGAAGCCCGGGGGCAGCUUGGUGAUGCCCCGGCACCACGGGCAUCUCACGUCCUUCUGGCUCGUCCUCAUCUGCUGGAGGCACACCGAGCAGCAGAAUCUGGAAAGGCGUGAGUCACCCAUAGAAGAAAUGGUAUGCGAACAAGGAAGGCCCACAUAAGCUGGAAAACAAACUCGGGUGCCCAGUCAAAUGCAUCAUACACGAAGCACACGUUGGCAAGAGCCUCAGGAAUCAGGGGUUGAUGUUAUUUCCUCACGGGAACAAGAUACGGCAUUCCAGGGAAGCACUCGUGACACUUAAGGGGAAACGGCCCUUUGGUAGAAUGUGUGCAAACAGGUGUAUAGUGAAGUACAUUGGAAUGAUUUAUUUUGAAAGAAUCUGAAGAUCAGAAAACAUCAGAAGAGGAAGAGCAGCUAAAGGAAGUUAUUCAGGAAAUAAUUAUGGCCUAGAAGACAGAACUUCUUUUCUUUUCUUUUCUUUUUUAAGAUUUUAUUUAUUUAUUCAUGAGAGACGCAGAGAGAGAGGCACAGACACAGGCAGAGGGAGAAGCAGGCUCCAUUCCAUGUAGUGAGCCCAAUGUGGGAUUCGAUCCUGGGUCUCCAGGACCACACCCUGGGCCGAAGGCGACGGCUAAACUGCUGAGCCAACUGCUGAGCCACCCGGGCUGCCCCAGAACUUCUUUUCAAACAUAUUUUCAUAAAAUGGUACUUAGUUUCAUAAAUGAUAUUAGUUGUACGAUCAAUGAACGAAGUAGUAAUGCAUGCCUUGGUUUAAAAUGCCUUUUUAAAAAAUAUAUAUUUAUUUAUUUGAGAGAGCGAGAGAAUGAGCAGGGGGAUGGGCAGAGGGAAAGGGUAGGAAUAGGAGCAGACUCCGCGUGGAGCCCAAUGUGGGGCUCAACAAGGGGCUCAAUCUCAUGACCCUGAGACCAUGACCUGAGCCGAAAUCAGGCAUCAGGCAUCAGGCAUCCAACCGACUGCACCACCCAGGUGUCCCUAAAACACUUUUCUUGGUUUCGGCUCAGGUCGUGAUCUCAAAAUUGUGAGAUGGAGCCCCAUAUCGGGCUCUGUGCUCCUCUGAGUGUGCUCAAGGUUUUCUCCCCCUUCCUUCCCCUUGGCCCCCUGCUCAGGUGCUCUCAUUCUCUCAAGUAAGUGAGUAAAUGAAUAAAUAAAUAAAUAAAUAAAACCUUAAACAAACAAACAAAAAAGAAAUAGAUUGAGAUUUGUGUUAGUAGAGGGAGGCAUGAUUUGGGGAGGAAAUGCCAAAAACUUGAGGCUUAUGCAUGUUGCUGUUGUUUGGGGGCAGUGGAUAUUUGAUGCUUUCCAACACUGAUAUAUUUUCACAAUAUAAAAUUUUCCCCCUUUUUAAAAACCAUGUAAUUUUAAGCAUCUUUAUAAAAGUUGUGGGCAUGAUAAAGUGCUACUAUGAAUUUAGUGGGUGGUAAAAAAAAAAAAAAAAAACAAACACACAGGUCUCCAAUACUGAGUUUUUUAUUUAUAUAAGUCCCAGUUGCUUUUAGAAGCCCAGGCAUAUGAGGAUAAAAGUCAAUGAAAUAAAUAAUCCACAUAGUUUUACUCUGCUUGUACUCUUAAGAAGUUUCAUACAUUCUGAUUUAGAUUUGUGACCGUGACAUUAAUUGGGAGGCCUCACCUCAGAACCGUGGUAUGAACUGAUAGUGAUUAUAUCUGGCUGACCUUGAACUGUUCCAUCUGAUGCUCCCCAUCACGAUCUUAAAUUUAAUGAUCAUGUUGAGAAAAAUCUCAAAGUCAGAGAUUAAAAUAGACACUGUACUGCUGCUUUUCUUACUCUAUUGAAAUAGCAUGUCUUUCUGAUGCAGGUCAUUUGCUUCAUUCUUCAAGAAAAUGUAAAUAUUUGAAAUGAGAUUAAAUGAAAUAAUUACAAUUCCAUUUAAUGUGGUAUUUCAGCGGCCAAGACCACUUAGUUACAUUGGAUCUUAGCAAACACUCUGAUUAGUGGCAAGAAUGGGAAUCGCCUGGCAGUGACAGAUGUGUCGCUGACUUCUGGUCCUCCAGUACCCGAGAGCCAUCCUUUCAGGACACGAUUGCAUAACACAUGCAGCGUCCAACUGGUGUUAACUACUAUCUCUGAUUUAAUGGAGAAGGCAGUGGAUUCUAGGACUCUGGCAACUUUUAAGUGAGAAUUCCAUCGGCCCAAACUCUAAUGUUUGCAUUGUCUCCUCCUAUGAGCAUCCCUGGUUUGCUGUAUUUAAUGAUGUCAAGAAUCUAGAAAGUGAAAGCUG